UCGAACGGGCGUAGCAAUACGCCAGUGGCGAACGGGUGAGUAAUGUAUCGCUAACGUACCCUGAAGUUGGGGAUAGCCGGGGGAAACUCCGGGUAAUACCCAAUGACAUCCCCUUGGGGCAUCUUGAGGGGCUCAAAGGAGCAAUCCGCUCUGGGAGCGGGCGAUAUCGUAUCAGCUAGUUGGUGAGGUAACGGCUCACCAAGGCGACGACGCGUAGCCGGGCUGAGAGGUUGGCCGGCCACAUUGGGACUGAGACACUGCCCAGACUCCUACGGGGGGCUGCAGUAACGAAUCUUCCGCAAUGCACGAAAGUGUGACGGAGCGACGCCGCGUGUGGGACGAAGUCCUUCGGGAUGUAAGCCACUGUCAGGGGUAAGAAAGUUCUGAUCUACCCCAGAGGAAGGCACGGCUAACUCUGUGCCAGCAGCCGCGGUAAGACAGAGGUGCCGAGCGUUAGGCGGAAUCACUGGGCUUAAAGCGUGUGUAGGCGGAUCGUUAAGUACCUUGUGAAAUCCCACGGCUCAACCGUGGAACGGCUGGGUAUACUGGCGAUCUUGAGCGGCCUAGGGGCAGAUGGAACAGGCGGUGGAGCGGUGAAAUGCGUAGAUAUCGCCUGGAACGCCAAAGGUGAAGACAGUCUGCUGGGGGCCUGCUGACGCUGAGACACGAAAGCCAGGGGAGCGAACGGGAUUAGAUACCCCGGUAGUCCUGGCCCUAAACGAUGUCGACUAGAUCGUGGUCCCUCUGACGGGUUCACG
rnacentral:rRNA from 1 species